UGCUCCAGAAUAGCUCUUGGAAACGGGUGGUAAUGCUGGAUGCUCCAACUUGACGCAUGUCUUGUUGGGAAAGUGUUUAGUGGCAUGGGAUGGGGUCGCGUCCUAUCAGCUUGUAGGCGGGGUAAUGGCCCACCUAGGCUUCGACGGGUAGCCGGCCUGAGAGGGCGGACGGCCACAUUGGGACUGAGAUACGGCCCAGACUCCUACGGGAGGCAGCAG
rnacentral:rRNA from 1 species